ACUUUAAGUUUUAGAUAAUAAUAAAAUACUUUAAUAAUAGCUAUUGAUCUGAUAAUGAUUACAUUAGUUAGUUAAUUAGGUUUCUUAGUAGUCUUCUCAAGAUAUGGGAAUUAUUAAAAUCCUACUAAUUCUUAUGAAACUCGUGCUCAAUUAUACAAUUAUGCUGGGUUUACACAUUAUGGUUUGUAGAUGCAAUGCACCCCAAAUAACUGUCUGACCUGCAGCUGUCUGAAUGUUUACUUCUCUGGAUCUACUAAACAGAUUUUCAUUUGGUUAUCACAGGUAGCUUAAUCUGGAGCAACAUAAGGUUAAUUAUGAAAUGGUAAUGAAAAUAAACAUCUGAAAAAAGCAAAUUCCAUGAACUAAUUUGAAAGUAUCUGUUACCAGAAGUAAAUUUUUUACUAUACCACUGUUCAAUAUUAAACCACAGGUAUAUGUACUAAAGGCAGUAAUGUCCAGAUAAUCAAUGAUUAGACUAUUGGACUUUUAGAAUAAAUUUUACAUUGAACUAUGAAUGGUUUGUCAUCUACAUUUUUAAAAAAGAUGAGAUGUUUUACCUGUAAGAAGAAGAGAGAGAGAGAGAAUAAGAAGGUAAGUUAAACACCUACUGUAAAAUGCACACUGCUCCAAUGUGGGUUGAUAGGCUUGGGGUAAUAAAGUUAAAUUAUAAAAGGAUCACUAUCAGGUGUUAAUGAUAAUGACUGGGAUAUAUAGCAUAUCAUACUCUCUGAGAUAUAGGGAUAUAACACCAGCAACAGCUCUCCAGUGAUGCAGUAGAUAGCAUCAUUGCUCUUUGCAUCUACACGCCACAGCCAGUUGUGGCAAUUGAACUCAUCAUAUUAGUGUGAUGAGCAUGGAUGUAUUUCAGUGUCUAUGUGGUUGUGAGUGUAUGCCCAUGUUAAAUAAUAAGUAAUGGCCCAAAUAAUAAGUAGCCUAUAUGUUGCUGAAUAAUCUUCUCUAUCUUCCAGUAAAAGUCCCAUUAAAAUGACCCUGCUGUUCCAGAGAUUAGCUCAAACAAACAGUCAGAUGAACAUUUUAAAGAAGUAUGACUGUAUGUCAGUAUUGUAUAUAGGCACUUGAGAAAACACAGUUAUUUUGAAAUCACAGACAUACACUUAAAUUUUAUUUAUAUGUAUUGGUGCUGUUCAUAAAUAUAGCAUCAGCUGAAAUAAACUAGGCAUAGUUAAGUUACAUUUUAUACAAGGUGCUCGGGACUAUUUCUCAUAAAGGUGUUGACAAGUCCACUUAUAGGAGCUACCUUAGCUACUAGUUUAUAUUGAGGAGAACUUUCCACCUAGAUGGGUUGUGACUGUAUUAGGGGUCUGGUGAUGAAGACGAAGGACAGUUAAGAGAACUCCUCAACGGUUCACAGUAGCUACCAUGUGUUGAUAAAUUUGUAUUGAUGAGAACUUUCCACCUAGAUGGGUUGUGACUGUAUUAGGGGUCUGGUAAUGAAGACGAAGGACGGUUAAGGGAACUCCUCGAUGGUUCACAGUAGUAAUUAGUUUGAUUCUAAGUCAGACGCAAUCCAUACCUUUGGCGCUAGAUCAAUAUCUAGGAUGAUUUCACUAAAAAUGGAAAAAUAAAAAUUUUUAAUAAAAGAAAUUCAACCAACUUCAAAAACAUAAAACAUACUGGCUAAACUAAAAAGCGAAAAAUAAUAUUAUACUAAGUUCAUAUCAUAUUAUGUUCUAACUGAUGAUCAGUUUGAAGGCUGUGCUAAACCGGUGUUGUUUUAAUUUAAGCUGUUACUGAAAGAACUACAUGAAAGAACACUGUCUGAAAAACCUAAAUAUUUAUGAUAUUCUUACAUGGCUUGAAUUAAUACAUCAUUGGGCUAGCACCACCUUCAAACUGAUCAUCAGUUAGAACAUAAUAUGAUAUAUAGAACUUAGUAUAAUGUUAUUUUUCGUUUUUUAGUUUAGUAAGUAUGUUUUUGAAGUCGGUUGACUUGUUUUUAUUAAAGUUUUUUAAUACACAUGUUCCUUAGACAUUUUAAAUUAAUUUUCCUUAUAGAACUUGGAGCUACCCUAGAGUUAUGGGAAAUACUCCCGAGCACCCUGUAGAUGCUACUUAAUCCUACUAAUCCUUCAUUCAUCAGUAUCGGUUGGUGGGCUUGGAGUUUAUAAACAAUCCUGCUUCUUCACAUGAAUUUUACCCGCAUGACGACGGUUUUUAAUAUAAAAAAUAUUUACACAAUGUCUCAAAAAGCAAUCAAAGCUUUGAAAAAUAAACAAUGUUCGCAGAAGUUCAGUACCAACAAACUCACAAAAAAUGAGCCCAAAUUUAGCAUUACUUGCAAGCCAGACUAAGAAAUUUCAAGAAGAUAAUUUAAAAGAAGACAAUAGAAUAAAAUAAUAUUAACACACAAUGCUUAGCAAAUAUAGCAUUAACAGAUGGAAACCAGGCAAUAGGUGUAGCAAAAUAGAAGAUGAAGGUCUAGCUGUGCCAGUCAGUGCUGAGCCACACAGUUGCUGCUGGCAUGUUUGCAAAAUAGCACAAGGUGUAGCAAAAUAAAAGAUGAAGGUCUAGCUGUGCCAGUCAGUGCUGAGCCACACAGUUGCUGCUGGCAUGUUUGCAAAAUAGCACAAGGUGUAGCAAAAUAGAAGAUGAAGGUCUAGCUGUGCCAGUCAAUGUUGAGCCACACAGUUGCUGCUGGCAUGUUUGCAAAAUAGCACAAGGUGUAGCAAAAUAGAAUAUGAAGGUCUAGCUGUGCCAGUCAGUGCUGAGCCACACAGUUGCUGCUGGCAUGUUUGCAAUAUAGCACAAGGUGCUGUAAAAUGAAGAUAUAUUGUUUAAUAUCAUGAGAUAGAAAUAAAAGAUGAAGAUCUAGCUGUACCCGUCCCGAGCCACACUACUGCAGCCACAUUGCUGCUGGCAUUUUUGCAAAAUAGCACAAGGUCACAACAAUUGAUGUAACAAAUAUAAUCAAUGGACCAGGCACCUGCACCAUGAUUCUUUGGAGUACUAAAAUUCGUCUCUUUAUGUUUAUACUUCUCAUAAUGAAAAAUGUCACAUUUUUAUGAAAGAAAUAAUGGAAUCAAAUAAUAAAUAAAACAAGCAUAUGCUGGAAGUCCUCAGAAACAGCUCCGACUUUGAUGAUUUUUUUAAAGUCAUGUUUUUUAUGUUAUUUAAAAUCAGAAAUGUUUUGAUGGACGAAAUUAUUUAAAUUGUUAAAAAAUAUCUAUGCUAUUUAUACAUAUUUUUUUUAAAUACAACCGACUUCAAAAAUACAAACUUAUGCAGAAAACUAACAAACGAAACAAAAUAUUAUAAUAUUUUCUAUCUAUUGAUCACUUUGAAGGCGGUGCCAAUUGUCCAAUUAAUGGGCCGACAAUUAGUUAUCUAUUGUUUUCCUAGCUAUAGGGUUCGAAUUGCUUUUUCAUAUCUUUAAAAGACUAUCUUCGGAAUGAACCCUUUAUAAUAAAAAAAGUAUUGUCAAAAUCGGACCACUCAAUAAAAAGUUAUACUUGGUUGUAUACUAAAAUUAAUGGUUAAACAAUCAAUCAUCCCCUGUUUUUGUAAUGUAAAACCAAGCAUAACUGUUAACAUGAGUAGUCCGAUUUUGAUAAUUCUUUUGAUUGAUCAUUCUUGAUUGUUUUAGUUUAAAACCAAGCAUGUCUUCGAAUUCCGAUUUGAAUAACUUUGUUUUAAAUAGAAAGGGUAUAUUCCGACAAUGGUCCCAAAUCAUUAUAAAUUUAAAAAAAACAAGAGAUGACUGGUUAUUUUCCCAUUAAUUGUAUUGUAAAAAUAUGCGUAACUUAUUACGAAGUGGUCCGAUUUCGUAAAUUCUUUAUAGAUUGUAAAGGUAUUUUGAUUGUAAAGCUCCCAUAUAAAUUUUUAAAAACAAUUCCAAUCCUAAAUGUGCGAUUGAUUGUUUUCUCAUUCAUUUUAAUGUAAAACCAAGCCUAACUUUUUAUUGGGUGGUUCGAUUUUGAUUAUUCUUUAUUUUAAUAGAAAGGGUAUAUUCCUAAGUCUCAUAAAAUGUUGGAAAACAAUUUCAAACCUAAUAGUAGGAAAAUAGAAGAUGAUUAAUUGUUUUCCCAUUUAUUGUAAUGUUAAACUAUGCGUAACUUUUUACUGAGUGGACCGAUUUUGAAAAUUCUUUACUUUUUGUAAAGGGUUUAUUUCGAAGUAGGUCCCAUAUAAAUUUCGGAAAACAAUUCGAAUCCUUAAGGUGGAAAAAAAUGGUACGAUUGAUUGCCUACCCAUUAAUUGUACAAUUGGCACCGGCUUCAGUAAUCAGUAGAUAGAAAAUAUUAUAAUGUUUUCUUCAGCUUAUUAGUUUACUGCAUAACUUUGUGUUUUUGGUAGUGUUUGUUUUUUAAUUAUUUAUUAUAUAAAUAGCAUAACUAUUGUUAAAUAGUAUAAAUCGUUCCAUCCUCACUCCAAAAGGUUUCUGAUUUCAAAUGAUAUGAAGAAACAAACUGAACAAAAAUAAUCAUCAAAAUCAGAGCUGUUUUUGAGGAGGUAGAGGGUAAAUGCUCUAUUGAUUCGCCUAAAAGUAAUAUUAUGUUAUCGCAUUAGGUUGUAAAGUUUGGCUAAUGAAAGUAGAGACUGAAAUUGCCCGCCAAAUUUAAAAAUCAUAUAAACAAAUUAAAAAAACAUGUGUUUUCAUAAUUUAUUUAGAUUAGUUUUUCUUUGUGAAUACAUUAUUACCUAUACUAUAAGUGUUAAACUCAGUUAUUCCAAUAUUUGCACUAUAAUUUUGAGAAUUUACUCAGAUUUUUUAAAAUUUGGCGGGUGGUUUCAGUUUCUACUUUCAUUAGCCAAAUUCUAAUAAUUUUAUUGUUUAUGAAAUUUAUACUAAUUAGAAAGAGGAAGAAUUUGAUUAUUUGUUUGUUUGCAUUGAAUAGGCUGUGAAACUACUUUGCUGAUUUAAAAAUUUCUUACACCAUUAUAAUCAUGGAUUAGGCCAUAAUUGUUAUCUCUGUAUUCCCACGGGAACGAGAACUACGCUGGUGAAACUGCGUGACGUUUGCAUAGUUUAUCAUAUGUACAAAUAUCCCGACAAUCUAUAUUUUUAUGUAUGAAUUGGUUACGUUAUAAUUGACUUGAUUUUCCAAAAUAUCUUAGUGAAGUCACCCAAUUGAUGCAUAGAUAUAUUUUUAUUUUGGUUUUCAUUUUACUUUAAAGAUAAAAUUUAGUUUUAGAAGCAAAAUGAAUAUAUUUAGAUUACAUUUUAGGUGCUGAUGUUUACUUAGUUAUUGAUUAAGUGCAUAAGAUUUUUUAUUUGAUAAUAAAGACAUUUCAAC